UACGAGGGGAGCAAGCGUUGUUCGGAUUUACUGGGCGUAAAGGGCGCGUAGGCGGCCACGACAAGUCACUUGUGAAAUCUCCGGGCUUAACUCGGAACGGUCAAGUGAUACUGUCGGGCUAGAGUACAGAAGGGGCAACUGGAAUUCUCGGUGUAGCGGUGAAAUGCGUAGAUAUCGAGAGGAACACCUGCGGCGAAGGCGGGUUGCUGGGCUGAUACUGACGCUGAUGCGCGAAAGCCAGGGGAGCGAACGGGG
rnacentral:rRNA from 1 species